rnacentral:tRNA from 1 species
GGUUCUAUGGUGUAAUGGUUAGCACUCUGGACUUUGAAUCCAGCGAUCUGAGUUCAAAUCUCGGUAGGACCA